rnacentral:rRNA from 1 species
UGCUAAUACCGCAUAACAACAUUUACCACAUGGUUUAUGUUUAAAAGAUGGUUUUGCUAUCACUUUAGGAUGGACCCGCGGCGUAUUAGUUAGUUGGUGAGGUAAUGGCUCACCAAGACCGUGAUACGUAGCCGACCUGAGAGGGUAAUCGGCCACAUUGGGACUGAGACACGGCCCAAACUCCUACGGGAGGCAGCAGUAGGGAAUCUUCCACAAUGGACGAAAGUCUGAUGGAGCAACGCCGCGUGAGUGAAGAAGGUUUUCGGAUCGUAAAACUCUGUUGUUGAAGAAGAACAUGCGUGAGAGUAACUGUUCACGUAUUGACGGUAUUCAACCAGAAAGCCACGGCUAACUACGUGCCAGCAGCCGCGGUAAUACGUAGGUGGCAAGCGUUGUCCGGAUUUAUUGGGCGUAAAGCGAGCGUAGGCGGUUUAUUAAGUCUGAUGUGAAAGCCCUCGGCUCAACCGAGGAAGUGCAUCGGAAACUGGUAAACUUGAGUGCAGAAGAGGAGAGUGGAACUCCGUGUGUAGCGGUGGAAUGCGUAGAUAUAUGGAAGAACACCAGUGGCGAAGGCGGCUCUCUGGUCUGUAACUGACGCUGAGGUUCGAAAGCGUGGGUAGCAAACAGGAUUAGAUACCCUGGUAGUCCACGCCGUAAACGAUGAGUGCUAAGUGUUGGAGGGUUUCCGCCCUUCAGUGCUGCAGCUAACGCAUUAAGCACUCCGCCUGGGGAGUACGACCGCAAGGUUGAAACUCAAAGGAAUUGACGAGGGCCCGCACAAGCGGUGGAGCAUGUGGUUUAAUUCGAAGCAACGCGAAGAACCUUACCAGGUCUUGACAUACCAUGAAAAGCUAAGAGAUUAGUCUUUCCCUUCGGGGACAUGGAUACAGGUUGUGCAUGGUUGUCGUCA